rnacentral:rRNA from 1 species
CUCCUACGGGAGGCAGCAGUGGGGAAUAUUGCACAAUGGGGGAAACCCUGAUGCAGCCAUGCCGCGUGUGUGAAGAAGGCCUUCGGGUUGUAAAGCACUUUCAGUAGGGAGGAAAGGGUGAGUCUUAAUACGGCUUAUCUGUGACGUUACCUACAGAAGAAGGACCGGCUAACUCCGUGCCAGCAGCCGCGGUAAUACGGAGGGUCCGAGCGUUAAUCGGAAUUACUGGGCGUAAAGCGUGCGCAGGCGGUUUGUUAAGCGAGAUGUGAAAGCCCUGGGCUCAACCUAGGAAUAGCAUUUCGAACUGACAAACUAGAGUCUUGUAGAGGGGGGUAGAAUUCCAGGUGUAGCGGUGAAAUGCGUAGAGAUCUGGAGGAAUACCGGUGGCGAAGGCGGCCCCCUGGACAAAGACUGACGCUCAUGCACGAAAGCGUGGGGAGCAAACAGGAUUAGAUACCCUGGUAGUCCACGCCGUAAACGAUGUCUACUCGGAGUUUGGUGUCUUGAACACUGGGCUCUCAAGCUAACGCAUUAAGUAGACCGCCUGGG